GAUGCAAGUCGAGCGAGGACUUCGGUCCUAGCGGCGGACGGGUGAGUAACGCGUGGGAACGUGCCCUUUGCUUCGGAAUAGCCCUGGGAAACUGGGAGUAAUACCGGAUGAGCCCUUUGGGGGAAAGAUUUAUCGGCGAAGGAUCGGCCCGCGUUGGAUUAGGUAGUUGGUGGGGUAAUGGCCUACCAAGCCGACGAUCCAUAGCUGGUUUGAGAGGAUGAUCAGCCACACUGGGACUGAGACACGGCCCAGACUCCUACGGGAGGCAGCAGUGGGGAAUCUUAGACAAUGGGGGAAACCCUGAUCUAGCCAUGCCGCGUGAGCGAUGAAGGCCUUAGGGUUGUAAAGCUCUUUCAGCUGGGAAGAUAAUGACGGUACCAGCAGAAGAAGCCCCGGCUAACUCCGUGCCAGCAGCC
rnacentral:rRNA from 1 species